AGAACCUUAGGAUUAUAAUUUAAACCAAGAGCCUUCAAAGCUCAAAAUAUGGGCGAAAUCCCCCAUAGUUUCUG
rnacentral:tRNA from 1 species